AACGCGAAAAACCUUACCCACCUUUGACAUGUACGGAAUCCUUUAGAGAUAGAGGAGUGCUCGAAAGAGAGCCGUAACACAGGUGCUGCAUGGCUGUCGUCAGCUCGUGUCGUGAGAUGUUGGGUUAAGUCCCGCAACGAGCGCAACCCUUGCCAUUAGUUGCUACGAAAGGGCACUCUAAUGGGACUGCCGGUGACAAACCGGAGGAAGGUGGGGAUGACGUCAAGUCCUCAUGGCCCUUAUAGGUGGGGCUACACACGUCAUACAAUGGCUGGUACAAAGGGUUGCCAACCCGCGAGGGGGAGCUAAUCCCAUAAAGCCAGUCGUAGUCCGGAUCGCAGUCUGCAACUCGACUGCGUGAAGUCGGAAUCGCUAGUAAUCGGGAUCAGCAUGUCACGG
rnacentral:rRNA from 1 species